GCGCGUCCCGCUCGGCGGCAUCGCCCGGUCCAUCCACGCACUCGGACGGCGGCCAGAUCCUCUCCUCCACCGCGGCCGCUGCGUCGCCUCCACAAAGAGCUUCGCACACCACACGGGCGAACUCAGCAUGGAGCCAUGGACGACGGCCCGUUCCUCAAGUGGAAAGCUGCUGCGUCACGCUCGGCGCUUCACCAGUCUCGUCAAACCGCUGACAGAGUCCACUCCCGAUUCCCAAUGGAGGGCUCAAGCUUCGCGUUGUCUGGAUCAUCAGCUCGCUGAUUGCUGCAUUUGUGAGCGCGAGGCAUUACCUGCUGCAGCGUGCAGCCAAAAAUAUCACGCAAUGCUGAACCUGACGGCCACCGAUGGACAAGAGGCAGAGUGGCAGGCACUACAACUGCUUGUCGAAAUGCUGCCAGGUGCCAAGGAACAGAUGUGCCUCCUUCAGAAAUUACUUGAGCAUAAAGAAGCCUUACGAUAACAAUUGUAACCUCUUUAAAUUUGGUAUUAACCAUUCGUUGUCUCUGUUCAUGAUGUAUUAUUUGAUUUAAAUACUGCAUCUUAGUAGUACAUGUGAAUUACUCUUGCAGAAUUUGAUAUAGCAUGUAUAUAACAUCUGAAAUUUAGCAACUCAUUAUGGAACCCAGUGUAAACUAAAUAUAUUAUCUUUAACAUAUCUCAAGCUCUAAACUUCUAUCUCUGAAUUUGAGAAGUCAGCAUCUGAAAUCACUGAUUUGUCUACUAACAAAAACAUAGCCCUUUUGUUUGACAUGCCGUAGUAUUACACCAAAACAGUUUUUUUUCCCCUCUGGCAGCGAAGUUUAAAUACCAUCAAUGUUCAGCUUGAAUUGCAUGUACUACACUUUGUGCACAGCCGUGUUGGCAUGGUAGACACUAUCCCCUGUCCAACUACCAAGAUAUUGAUAUUCCAUCUUGCGUCAUACUAUCUGCAUAACUCAUAAGAACAUUCUGUGGCCUAUUAUGCAGGUAAUGAAACACGCUCCAGGCAGAUAAAAUGUACUCGGUACUCAACUAUGACAUACAAAUUAAACAGGCUCUCCAAAGAGGGCGCGGUAAAGCCGCGCCUGUCACUA